rnacentral:rRNA from 1 species
GCAAGAUACCACGGGCGCACGGCGGAUGCCUUGGCACAGGGAGCCGAUGAAGGACGCGGCAAGCUGCGAUAAUCCCCGGCGAGGAGCACACAUCCUUCGACCCGGGGGUCUCCGAAUGGGCGAACCCAUCCACAGCAGUGUGGAUAUCCCCACCCCGAACACAUAAGGGUGGGGAGGACAACCCGGGGAACUGAAACAUCUAAGUACCCGGAGGAGAGGAAAUCAAUCUCGAGACUCCCCGAGUAGCGGCGAGCGAAAGGGGACCGAUGGCCAAACCGUCGAGCGGGCAUACCCGGCAGGGGUUCCGCCGACGGGGUUGCAGGGCCGCGCAUCCGGGGGCUGCCGCCCCCGGGCGCAGGUCCGGCUGGGGAGCGGAACGGCAUGGGAGGGCCGGCCGCAGCGGGUGACAGCCCCGUACGCGAACCCAGACCGGACGGCGCGACGCGGUCCCUGAGUAGGGCCGGGCACGUGAAACCCGGUCCGAACCUGGGUGGACCACCAUCCAAGCCUGAGUACUACCCUGUGACCGAUAGCGCACCAGUACCGUGAGGGAAAGGUGAAAAGCACCCCGGGAGGGGAGUGAAACAGUACCUGAAACCGUGCGCCCACGAGCAGUCGGAGCAACUUUCAGUUGUGACGGCGUGCCUUUUGUAGAAUGAGCCAGCGAGUCGCUGGCGCGGGGCGAGGUUAACCGAAAGGGAGCCGGAGCGAAAGCGAGCCUUAACAGGGCGACUUGAGUCCCGCGCCGCGGACGCGAAGCCGGGUGAGCUAUCCGUGGGCAGGCUGAAGCGGGGGUAAGACCCCGUGGAGGGCCGAACGCACGUCGGUUGAAAACGGCGGCGAUGACCUGCGGAUAGGGGUGAAAGGCCAAUCAAACCCGGAGAUAUCUCGUUCUCCCCGAAAUAGCUUUAGGGCUAGCGUCGCGCGUUCACCGCCGGAGGUAGAGCACCGGAUGGACGAGGGGGCUUCGCCGCCUACCGAAUCCAACCGAACUCCGAAUGCCGGCGGCCCAGAGCGCGGCAGUCAGAGCAUGUGGGCUAAGCUGUGUGCUCGAGAGGGAAACAGCCCGGACCGCCCGCUAAGGUCCCCAAGUUCCAGCCGAGUGGCAAAGGAUGUGCGUCCGCCCAGACAACCAGGAUGUUGGCUUAGAAGCAGCCAUCCAUUCAAAGAGUGCGUAACAGCUCACUGGUCGAGUGGACAUGCGCCGACAAUACACGGGGCUAAGCUGGACACCGAAGCGGCGGGAUUUUGAUUUACAGAAUCGGUAGGGGAGCUUCCCAUGGGCGGAGAAGCCGGAGGGCGACCGACGGUGGAGCGCAUGGGAGUGAGAAUGCUGGCAUGAGUAGCGAGAGACGAGAGAGUAACUCGUCCGCCGUGAACCCGAGGUUUCCUGGGCAAGGCUAAUCCUCCCAGGGUCAGUCGGGGGCUAAGGCGAGGCCGGGAGGCGUAGCCGACGCGCAGCAGGCAGACAUUCCUGCACCGCGCACGCGGCGCUACGACCGACGGGGCGACGGAUGGGGGUGGCUCGGCGGGGUUCUGGACGUCCCCGUGAUGGAGCGCGGCCCGCGGACCAGGGAAAUCCGGUCCGCACGAGGGCGAGGCUCCGGACGAAGCGACUGAGCGAAGCGAGUGAGCCCGAGGUCCCUAGAAAAACCCCUAGGCAGGCGCGUGCGCGCCCGUACCGCAAACCGACACAGGUGGGUGGGUAGAACAUACCGAGGCGAUCGGGUCAACCAUGGUCAAGGAACUCGGCACAAUGGCCCCGUAACUUCGGGAGAAGGGGUGCCCGCGCGUACGUGAACCGGCUUGCCCGGGGAGCGGAGGCGGGCCGCAGUGGAGAGGCCCAAGCGACUGUUUACCAAAAACACAGGACUCUGCAGAAGCCGCAAGGCGACGUAUAGGGUCUGACGCCUGCCCGGUGCCGGAAGGUCACGCGGAGGAGUUAGCGCAUCGCGCGAAGCCCCGAAGCCAAGCCCCGGUAAACGGCGGCCGUAACUAUAACGGUCCUAAGGUAGCGAAAUUCCUUGUCGGGUAAGUUCCGACCUGCACGAAAGGCGCAACGACUUGGGCGCUGUCUCGACCAUGGACCCGGUGAAAUUGCACUGGUCGUGAAGAUGCGACUUACCCGCGGAAGGACGGAAAGACCCCGUGAACCUUCACUGCAGCUUGGCAUUGGCCGCUGGUCCCGCGUGUAGAGGAUAGGCAGGAGGCUAAGAUCCGGAGGCGCCAGCCCCCGGGGAGCCGCCCUUGGAAUACUGCCCUCGCGCGACCGGCGUCCUAACCCGAGGCCGUCAACCGGCUCGGGGACCGUGCCAGGCGGGCAGUUUGACUGGGGCGGUCGCCUCCUAAAGGGUAACGGAGGCGCGCGAAGGUCCGCUCGGGACGGUCGGCAACCGUCCUUUUGAAUGCAAGAGUACAAGCGGGCUUGACUGCGAGGCCCACAAGCCGAGCAGGUGCGAAAGCAGGCUCUAGUGAUCCGGCGGCCCCGAGUGGGUGGGCCGUCGCUCAACGGAUAAAAGGUACUCCGGGGAUAACAGGCUGAUCUUGCCCAAGAGUCCACAUCGACGGCAAGGUUUGGCACCUCGAUGUCGGCUCAUCGCAUCCUGGGGCUGGAGCAGGUCCCA